rnacentral:rRNA from 1 species
UUAAGCGACUAAGCGUACACGGUGGAUGCCCUGGCAGUCAGAGGCGAUGAAGGACGUGCUAAUCUGCGAUAAGCGUCGGUAAGGUGAUAUGAACCGUUAUAACCGGCGAUUUCCGAAUGGGGAAACCCAGUGUGUUUCGACACACUAUCAUUAACUGAAUCCAUAGGUUAAUGAGGCGAACCGGGGGAACUGAAACAUCUAAGUACCCCGAGGAAAAGAAAUCAACCGAGAUUCCCCCAGUAGCGGCGAGCGAACGGGGAGCAGCCCAGAGCCUGAAUCAGUGUGUGUGUUAGUGGAAGCGUCUGGAAAGGCGCGCGAUACAGGGUGACAGCCCCGUACACAAAAAUGCACAUGCUGUGAGCUCGAUGAGUAGGGCGGGACACGUGGUAUCCUGUCUGAAUAUGGGGGGACCAUCCUCCAAGGCUAAAUACUCCUGACUGACCGAUAGUGAACCAGUACCGUGAGGGAAAGGCGAAAAGAACCCCGGCGAGGGGAGUGAAAAAGAACCUGAAACCGUGUACGUACAAGCAGUGGGAGCACGCUUAGGCGUGUGACUGCGUACCUUUUGUAUAAUGGGUCAGCGACUUAUAUUCUGUAGCAAGGUUAACCGAAUAGGGGAGCCGAAGGGAAACCGAGUCUUAACUGGGCGUUAAGUUGCAGGGUAUAGACCCGAAACCCGGUGAUCUAGCCAUGGGCAGGUUGAAGGUUGGGUAACACUAACUGGAGGACCGAACCGACUAAUGUUGAAAAAUUAGCGGAUGACUUGUGGCUGGGGGUGAAAGGCCAAUCAAACCGGGAGAUAGCUGGUUCUCCCCGAAAGCUAUUUAGGUAGCGCCUCGUGAAUUCAUCUCCGGGGGUAGAGCACUGUUUCGGCAAGGGGGUCAUCCCGACUUACCAACCCGAUGCAAACUGCGAAUACCGGAGAAUGUUAUCACGGGAGACACACGGCGGGUGCUAACGUCCGUCGUGAAGAGGGAAACAACCCAGACCGCCAGCUAAGGUCCCAAAGUCAUGGUUAAGUGGGAAACGAUGUGGGAAGGCCCAGACAGCCAGGAUGUUGGCUUAGAAGCAGCCAUCAUUUAAAGAAAGCGUAAUAGCUCACUGGUCGAGUCGGCCUGCGCGGAAGAUGUAACGGGGCUAAACCAUGCACCGAAGCUGCGGCAGCGACGCUUAUGCGUUGUUGGGUAGGGGAGCGUUCUGUAAGCCUGUGAAGGUGUGCUGUGAGGCAUGCUGGAGGUAUCAGAAGUGCGAAUGCUGACAUAAGUAACGAUAAAGCGGGUGAAAAGCCCGCUCGCCGGAAGACCAAGGGUUCCUGUCCAACGUUAAUCGGGGCAGGGUGAGUCGACCCCUAAGGCGAGGCCGAAAGGCGUAGUCGAUGGGAAACAGGUUAAUAUUCCUGUACUUGGUGUUACUGCGAAGGGGGGACGGAGAAGGCUAUGUUGGCCGGGCGACGGUUGUCCCGGUUUAAGCGUGUAGGCUGGUUUUCCAGGCAAAUCCGGAAAAUCAAGGCUGAGGCGUGAUGACGAGGCACUACGGUGCUGAAGCAACAAAUGCCCUGCUUCCAGGAAAAGCCUCUAAGCAUCAGGUAACAUCAAAUCGUACCCCAAACCGACACAGGUGGUCAGGUAGAGAAUACCAAGGCGCUUGAGAGAACUCGGGUGAAGGAACUAGGCAAAAUGGUGCCGUAACUUCGGGAGAAGGCACGCUGAUAUGUAGGUGAAGUCCCUCGCGGAUGGAGCUGAAAUCAGUCGAAGAUACCAGCUGGCUGCAACUGUUUAUUAAAAACACAGCACUGUGCAAACACGAAAGUGGACGUAUACGGUGUGACGCCUGCCCGGUGCCGGAAGGUUAAUUGAUGGGGUCAGCGCAAGCGAAGCUCUUGAUCGAAGCCCCGGUAAACGGCGGCCGUAACUAUAACGGUCCUAAGGUAGCGAAAUUCCUUGUCGGGUAAGUUCCGACCUGCACGAAUGGCGUAAUGAUGGCCAGGCUGUCUCCACCCGAGACUCAGUGAAAUUGAACUCGCUGUGAAGAUGCAGUGUACCCGCGGCAAGACGGAAAGACCCCGUGAACCUUUACUAUAGCUUGACACUGAACAUUGAGCCUUGAUGUGUAGGAUAGGUGGGAGGCUUUGAAGUGUGGACGCCAGUCUGCAUGGAGCCGACCUUGAAAUACCACCCUUUAAUGUUUGAUGUUCUAACGUUGACCCGUGAUCCGGGUUGCGGACAGUGUCUGGUGGGUAGUUUGACUGGGGCGGUCUCCUCCUAAAGAGUAACGGAGGAGCACGAAGGUUGGCUAAUCCUGGUCGGACAUCAGGAGGUUAGUGCAAUGGCAUAAGCCAGCUUGACUGCGAGCGUGACGGCGCGAGCAGGUGCGAAAGCAGGUCAUAGUGAUCCGGUGGUUCUGAAUGGAAGGGCCAUCGCUCAACGGAUAAAAGGUACUCCGGGGAUAACAGGCUGAUACCGCCCAAGAGUUCAUAUCGACGGCGGUGUUUGGCACCUCGAUGUCGGCUCAUCACAUCCUGGGGCUGAAGUAGGUCCCAAGGGUAUGGCUGUUCGCCAUUUAAAGUGGUACGCGAGCUGGGUUUAGAACGUCGUGAGACAGUUCGGUCCCUAUCUGCCGUGGGCGCUGGAGAACUGAGGGGGGCUGCUCCUAGUACGAGAGGACCGGAGUGGACGCAUCACUGGUGUUCGGGUUGUCAUGCCAAUGGCACUGCCCGGUAGCUAAAUGCGGAAGAGAUAAGUGCUGAAAGCAUCUAAGCACGAAACUUGCCCCGAGAUGAGUUCUCCCUGACUCCUUGAGAGUCCUGAAGGAACGUUGAAGACGACGACGUUGAUAGGCCGGGUGUGUAAGCGCAGCGAUGCGUUGAGCUAACCGGUACUAAUGAACCGUGAGGCUUAACCUU